rnacentral:rRNA from 1 species
AUACGUAGGUGGCAAGCGUUGUCCGGAUUUACUGGGCGUAAAGGGUGCGUAGGUGGAUAUUUAAGUGAGAUGUGAAAUCCCCGAGCUUAACUUGGGGCCUGCAUUUCAAACUGGAUAUCUAGAGUGCAGGAGAGGAGAAUGGAAUUCCUAGUGUAGCGGUGAAAUGCGUAGAUAUAUGGAAGAACACCAGUGGCGAAGGCGGCUCUCUGGUCUGUAACUGACGCUGAGGCUCGAAAGCGUGGGUAGC